GAUGAACGCUGGCGGCGUGCCUAAUACAUGCAAGUCGAGCGAAUGGAUUAAGAGCUUGCUCUUAUGAAGUUAGCGGCGGACGGGUGAGUAACACGUGGGUAACCUGCCCAUAAGACUGGGAUAACUCCGGGAAACCGGGGCUAAUACCGGAUAACAUUUUGAACCGCAUGGUUCGAAAUGGAAAGGCGGCUUCGGCUGUCACUUAUGGAUGGACCCGCGUCGCAUUAGCUAGUUGGUGAGGUAACGGUCCACCAAGGCAACGAUGCGUAGCCGACCUGAGAGGGUGAUCGGCCACACUGGGACUGAGACACGGCCCAGACUCCUACGGGAGGCAGCAGUAGGGAAUCUUCCGCAAUGGACGAAAGUCUGACGGAGCAACGCCGCGUGAGUGAUGAAGGCUUUCGGGUCGUAAAACUCUGUUGUUAGGGAAGAACAAGUGCUAGUUGAAUAAGCUGGCACCUUGACGGUACCUAACCAGAAAGCCACGGCUAACUACGUGCCAGCCGCCGCAGUAA
rnacentral:rRNA from 1 species